UGACCCGAGAUUGCGCUACUGCACUCCAGCCUGGGCGACAGAGCGAGGUUCCGUCUCGAAAAAAAAAACAACGAAAAGGGGACUCACUUCGGAGAAGCUGCCCUCUCUGCAAACUUAUUUGAAGAUGUGGUCUUGCUAUGUUGCCCGGGCUGAGUGCAGUGACUAUUCACAGGCCGGAUCUAGUGCACUGCAGUCUUGAACUCCUGGCUUACAGUCCUGCUGGUUCUGAGAGGCAGGGGAAGAAACGGCCACCAUGCUCUGCAGCUAGGUCUCAGCAUGAGGACCAAGAACCCUGGUGUUCCUCCACUCAUCGGAGCCGUAUCAUUUUGGUGCAUUGGCCAGGAAAGGAAAUUCAAUCAUGAGACUGAUGGGUAACAGACCAUCUUCAACAUGCACUUCUCUUGAGUGUAUUUUGAAGCACUAGGACUCUUUCGACCUUGAAACUUUGAAGAAAAAGUGGCUUAUUUUCUUUUGCAGUCAUAUCAGGCAGGCCCAGGGAAAACAGUACCCCAAAAUUUAAAAAGUAACUUUCAGGGAAGUCAUCUGAGGGUCCCCCUUAUUUGGGGCCCCUUCAAGUUCCCUUCUCAUUGCAGGACCUUUGGCAAGUAAAGGGAGACUUAGGCUGGUUUUCUGAUGACCUUAAUAAGUAUAUGGAAGCUUUCCAAUAUUUAACUCAGGUAUGUAACCUCUCAUGAAGGGAUGUUAUGUUGCUGCUAAGGCAAACCCUUACUGUAGGUAAAAUAAGCAGCUCUGCAAGCAGAAGAAAAUUUUGGAGAUAAGUAAUGUCUCCUAUAGAAGGCCAAAAGGGAAAAGAAAAAAAUAGGGAAGGCAAAGGGGAAACACCAUUCCCAAUAGGAAAAGAGGCAAUACCUCCUGACAACCCUAAUUGGAACUCCUUUCUGUGGUGUUUUUCCUUGUUUUGCAGUUUAAAAUGGCUUCUCUUUUAUAAUGUUCUUCCAACAUGGAAAAGGUUAAUUUUCCAAACCUUAAAAUGUUUGGCAUAGAGUUGAGCUAGGGGGAAGGAAACCCAGCCCAGAAGCCUGAUAUGCUGGCAAAAGGGUAAAAAUUUCUUACCAGUCAGGCUUUUGGCUUCUCUCUUCCUGUGGAAACCGGCAAAAGGGAUAAUAAAGAUCAUUGUUUAUGUUUUCUUUAAAUUUAUAGUUAAUGAAAAAGGAUUUGUGAGGUUGGUCUUAAGCUGUAAACAAUCUGCUCUUCUUUGUAUGUCUUUCUGUGUGGUUCUGUUAAAGAAAAGGUAUCUUAGGUCAGGAUGCAGGCCCAGAAACCCAUAAGCCUGCUGUUCAAACCAGCCCAGCAAAGUAUCCAGUGGCAAACUUGGCUACAGGCCUCCAUCUUGUUUCAUGUCAUGGGAACAUAAUCUGUAACCAUGUGGCAAUACUUUGUUUUUGUCUCCGCCAUUUUACAAUGGUGGCUGUCUUCUUGUGCUAAAUCAGAUAAGCCAGUUUGUCAGUCUGGGCUGUGUCAGCUGAUCCAUCAAGGGCAGGGUUUACAAAACAUCUUAAGCACUGAUCAUAACAGCCGUUUAGGGAGGGUCAAAAUCUUGUAGCCUCCAAUUGCAUGGCUCUUGGGCCAUGGUUUCUAAUCCUGUAGCUAGUUUCUUGGUCUGGUCCCCAGGCAAAAGGGAAGUAUAUCUUGAGAAGCAGCUGCUAUCUUCUUUGUUUUAGACUAUAAACUGUAAACCAAGCUCCUCCCCAACUUGAUUCAGCCUAUGCCCGGGGAUGGGCAAGGACAGUUUGGGGACUGGAAACAAAAUGGAGUUGUUUGGGUGAGAUCUCUUCCACUGUCUCAGUCACAAUUUUGCAGUGACAGUUUCAAAAGCUGCCUGUCCGGGUGGAUCACGAGGUCAGGAGUUCAAGACCAGCCUAGUCAACAUGACGAAACCCUGUCUCUACUAAAAAA
rnacentral:lncRNA from 1 species